AUUGAACGCUGGCGGCAUGCUUUACACAUGCAAGUCGAACGGUAACAGGCCGCAAGGUGCUGACGAGUGGCGAACGGGUGAGUAAUGCAUCGGAACGUGCCCAGUCGUGGGGGAUAACGCAGCGAAAGCUGCGCUAAUACCGCAUACGAUCUAUGGAUGAAAGCGGGGGACCGUAAGGCCCCGCGCGAUUGGAGCGGCCGAUGGCAGAUUAGGUAGUUGGUGGGGUAAAGGCUCACCAAGCCAACGAUCUGUAGCUGGUCUGAGAGGACGACCAGCCACACUGAGACUGAGACACGGCCCAGACUCCUACGGGAGGCAGCAGUGGGGAAUUUUGGACAAUGGGCGCAAGCCUGAUCCAGCAAUGCCGCGUGCAGGAAGAAGGCCUUCGGGUUGUAAACUGCUUUUGUACGGAACGAAACGGUCCUGGUUAAUACCUGGGGCUAAUGACGGUACCGUAAGAAUAAGCACCGGCUAACUACGUGCCAGCCGCCGCCGUAA
rnacentral:rRNA from 1 species